GGACUGGCUCCUUUUGGCAUGCAUACAUCUACAUUCCUGGUCCCCCACCAAAUCAUCAAGAAUUACUGACUGUACCCACGAAAGAGGAUACUUUCAGGCUUAAGGCUGGGUCCUCUGGAAGCAAACACAAGAUGGAAUUUAGCUUGUUUAUUAGGGAUCAAUACUUUGAAAGGAAGGGGGAUGAAGCAGAGUUGGGCAGGACUCUGGCCCAACCAAGCCUCAACCACUCUGGCAGUGACUUGUGGGGUGGCAGGCUGGAUUUGCCAACCCUUGCUCAAAAUUAUAGCCUCUCUGCUG